GUGAAUUAUAGUUCGGGAAAAAACAAAUAAUGAAUUGGAAAAACAUAAUAAUGGGAGAAGUAUGAACAGGUUUCGGUUUACGGUUUUAUACUUCACACAUACACAUACCUACCUAUGGACUUUUAGCCAAGAUUUUUCCAAAUAUAAAAGCGACCGUGACGUUGGAUCGAGCUUACUUUUAUAGGAUUAAAAUCUGUUUAUAUUAUUAGUGGAAUAUAUAUACACACUGCAAUCCCUUUAACACAAUGAAAAUUGCAAUGCUGACGGUACCGGACAUUCAUAGGCCCUGAUGUCGUGGGAUUGCGUCUGCUGCAAUUCGGAUAAGCCAAUUACGUUAUCAGUAAAUUACAACACCCAACGACAUGUGCUAUCUGUCUUCGCUCUGUUGAUGCGAUUCUCAACUUUAUUUCAAAUGAGUUUUAUCAAAUAUUCGUAUGGUCACACACACACGCCACACGCCACACGCCACACGCCACAAGCAUACACAUACCUCACACACAUGAUUAUGUAUGUAUAUCUCGUUCAACUCAGUAAAUCUUAACAAAUCCGGAGAA